rnacentral:rRNA from 1 species
CUGGCGGCAGGCCUAACACAUGCAAGUCGAGCGCUCACUUCGGUGGGAGCGGCGGACGGGUUAGUAACGCGUGGGAAUAUGCCCGGUACUAAGGAAUAGCCUUUGGAAACGAAGAGUAAUACCUUAUACGCCCUUCGGGGGAAAGAUUUAUCGGUAUCGGAUUAGCCCGCGUAAGAUUAGAUAGUUGGUGGGGUAAUGGCCUACCAAGUCUACGAUCUUUAGCUGGUUUUAGAGGAUGAUCAGCAACACUGGGACUGAGACACGGCCCASACUCCUACGGGAGGCAGCAGUGGGGAAUCUUAGACAAUGGGCGCAAGCCUGAUCUAGCCAUGCCGCGUGAGUGAAGAAGGCCUUAGGGUCGUAAAACUCUUUCGUCAGAGAUGAUAAUGACAGUAUCUGGUAAAGAAACCCCGGCUAACUCCGUGCCAGCAGCCGCGGUAAUACGGAGGGGGUUAGCGUUGUUCSGAAUUACUGGGCGUAAAGCGCACSUAGGCGGACUGGAAAGUUGGGGGUGAAAUCCCGGGGCUCAACCUCGGAACUG